rnacentral:rRNA from 1 species
AACCAUGCUAGUCGACGGUGAAGCAGAGCUUGCUCUGUGGAUCAGUGGCGAACGGGUGAGUAACACGUGAGCAACCUGCCCCUGACUCUGGGAUAAGCGCUGGAAACGGCGUCUAAUACUGGAUAUGAGCUGCGAUCGCAUGGUCAGCAGUUGGAAAGAUUUUUCGGUCUGGGAUGGGCUCACGGCCUAUCAGCUUGUUGGUGAGGUAAUGGCUCACCAAGGCGUCGACGGGUAGCCGGCCUGAGAGGGUGACCGGCCACACUGGGACUGAGACACGGCCCAGACUCCUACGGGAGGCAGCAGUGGGGAAUAUUGCACAAUGGGCGAAAGCCUGAUGCAGCAACGCCGCGUGAGGGAUGACGGCCUNCGGGUUGUAAACCUCUUUUAGCAGGGAAGAAGCGAAAUGACSGUACCUGCAGAAAAAACCGCCGGCUAACUAACGUGCCAGCAGCCGCGGGUAAUACGUAGGGCGCAAAGCGUUAUCCGGAAUUAUUGGGCGUAAAGACCUCGUAGCGGUUUGUCCCGUUUGUGUGAAUCCCAAGGUCACCUCCGGGCUGCAA